rnacentral:tRNA from 1 species
GCUCCCAUGGUGUAGUGGUCACUGCACUCGCCUUGCACGCGGGAGACCCGGGUUCGAUUCCCGGCGGCAGAU